UAUAUAAUACAAUCCAUAUUAUAUUAAAUAUAAUAUUACAUUACAACUUACUGCAAUACACCCUAAUACAAUAUACCAUAAUAUAAUGCAACUAAUAUAGUAUAAUACAAUGUAGUAUGCUAUAUAGGCUUGGUAAUGGGUCGGGUCAGGUUAGUACUGGGGCAUGUCAAGCCCUAGCCUAACUCUAUGACUAAAGCGAAGGGCCCUAUCCCUUAAAAAGCCCGACUGUUAUUAGGUUAGGAUUGAUCUAAGCUUGGCCCUUUUUUUAUAGUUUCUUUAGAAUAUGACUCCUAUUCUUCAUUCUUCAUUAAUGAUAUUGUAUUAUUAUUGUUCCAUUUUUAUGUUGAUUUUGAUUGUAAGAUAUUUAAUAAAAUAUUUUUUACUCAACUUUAACAAUAAUACGACGUGUAACAAUCCAACCAAAUUAACAGAUUAAUCAAACUAACAAUAACUAAAUAAAUUAAAUAUAAAAAACUAAACUAAUACAAAAUAUGGACAAAUAUAUUAACGUGCAGGGAUGGCUGCAACACUCGUGAGCCCCCACUUAAUUUGGGGCGAGUGUGAGCCCUUGAAACACUUUAAAAUCCAUUUUGGGGGAUGAGCACAAGAUCCAAUUUUUUUUUGGGUUUGGGGAUUUGGUCGAACCCCCAAACUUGACCCGAAA
rnacentral:lncRNA from 1 species